CAUAAACCAGCUUCUGUGGCUUGUUUGGCUAAGAUGGCACUAUAUCAACGUACCAUGUGCUCUUGAAGUCAAACACAGAGAGAUUGAUAAUGCAGAUGUAUGGUUACUGUUGAAUCUCAGCCUGAACCACUGAUUGAGCACCUGGGGAAAGAACCCGGUCAGCCCUGGGAGCACAGGUGAAGGCAAUUCACGUGUAUGACUGGAAGGGGUGGAGCCUGCCUGCACCUCUCUUAGACCUCAUUUAAGGGCUGACUGCCACUGGGGAAGGAUCUCUGGUUAGAGACCCCUCCUUGCUGAAGCUUUCCUCUAUGAACCUGGAAUCUUCUGAUAUGGGUGAGCAAUCUUCUUCCCUUCCUUUAUAGCACCUUUCUAUUGUGUUGGUCCUUCUGUUGUUGCUCCUCUGUUGUGACACCUUUCUCCCUGUAUUGAUCUGUCCAAUUGCUACAGUGGAUAACUCGGUUUUGGGAAUUAGGAGGUUUCAGUGGUUCCUAAUAGUUCAGAUGUUGGAUUGCUUUACACAGUAUGGAGGGAGAGAACCUUAUCCUAUAGGAAGAAAAAAGGCAUUGACAGUAACCUGAGGUGUAUGGUUGCCUGCUUUAUUUCGUGUCAGCUGGUCCUUCCUGUGUGCUUGGACAGUAACAGGUGUAAUGGAAAUGCUGAGUCAUGGCCUGAACCAGUAAUUGAGCACCUGGUGGGAAGGCGGGGCCAACCCAGGGGGGCACAGCUGCAUGCAGUGUGCCUGAAUGACCAGAAGGGGUGGAGCCAGGAUCCCCCCCACCAGGCCUCAUUUAAGGGUUGGCAGUGGAGAUGAAUGUAUCUCAUCUUGGGAUCCCUGCCUACCUGAGGACCUUACAGGCCUUCUAAAGCACAUGCACAUGUGCCAGGAACACUACCUGCUUUCCCUGACGUGGUGCCUGCAUUCAGACCCCACCAGAAGUCCUCACCACCACUGAGGUUUCUUAUCAGCACCUCUCCCCAGGUAAAGGCCUCUGCUGGCUUGUCCUGCUCCUCACUAUCUUUGCUCAUCCACUUUGAAAAUAAGAUCUCCCAGGAUGGUAUUAUUGUUUAUUUAGGAUCAGCAGCUUGUUUCGGGUUUUACCA
rnacentral:lncRNA from 1 species